rnacentral:rRNA from 1 species
CAUGGUCUUAGCUUGCUAAGGCCGAUGGCGACCGGCGCACGGGUGAGUAACACGUAUCCAACCUGCCGUCUACUCUUGGACAGCCUUCUGAAAGGAAGAUUAAUACAAGAUGGCAUCAUGAGUUCACAUGUUCACAUGAUUAAAGGUAUUCCGGUAGACGAUGGGGAUGCGUUCCAUUAGAUAGUAGGCGGGGUAACGGCCCACCAAAGCGACGAUGGAUAGGGGUUCUGAGAGGAAGGUCCCCCACAUUGGUACUGAGACACGGACCAAACUCC